rnacentral:rRNA from 2 species
CCCCGGUAAACGGCGGCCGUAACUAUAACGGUCCUAAGGUAGCGAAAUUCCUUGUCGGGUAAGUUCCGACCUGCACGAAUGGCGUAAUGAUGGCCAGGCUGUCUCCACCCGAGACUCAGUGAAAUUGAACUCGCUGUGAAGAUGCAGUGUACCCGCGGCAAGACGGAAAGACCCCGUGAACCUUUACUAUAGCUUGACACUGAACAUUGAGCCUUGAUGUGUAGGAUAGGUGGGAGGCUUUGAAGUGUGGACGCCAGUCUGCAUGGAGCCGACCUUGAAAUACCACCCUUUAAUGUUUGAUGUUCUAACGUGGACCCGUAAUCCGGGUUGCGGACAGUGUCUGGUGGGUAGUUUGACUGGGGCGGUCUCCUCCUAAAGAGUAACGGAGGAGCACGAAGGUUGGCUAAUCCUGGUCGGACAUCAGGAGGUUAGUGCAAUGGCAUAAGCCAGCUUGACUGCGAGCGUGACGGCGCGAGCAGGUGCGAAAGCAGGUCAUAGUGAUCCGGUGGUUCUGAAUGGAAGGGCCAUCGCUCAACGGAUAAAAGGUACUCCGGGGAUAACAGGCUGAUACCGCCCAAGAGUUCAUAUCGACGGCGGUGUUUGGCACCUCGAUGUCGGCUCAUCACAUCCUGGGGCUGAAGUAGGUCCCAAGGGUAUGGCUGUUCGCCAUUUAAAGUGGUACGCGAGCUGGGUUUAGAACGUCGUGAGACAGUUCGGUCCCUAUCUGCCGUGGGCGCUGGAGAACUGAGGGGGGCUGCUCCUAGUACGAGAGGACCGGAGUGGACGCAUCACUGGUGUUCGGGUUGUCAUGCCAAUGGCACUGCCCGGUAGCUAAAUGCGGAAGAGAUAAGUGCUGAAAGCAUCUAAGCACGAAACUUGCCCCGAGAUGAGUUCUCCCUGAGACUUAGAGUCUCCUGAAGGAACGUUGAAGACGACGACGUUGAUAGGCCG